rnacentral:rRNA from 1 species
UACAGAGGUCUCAACCGUUGUUCGGAUUCAUUGGGCGUAAAGGGUGCGUUGGCGGUCGUGCAAGUCGGAUGUGAAAUCUCAGGGCUCAACCCUGAAACUGCAUUCGAUACUGCGUGGCUAGAGUGCUGGAGAGGAGACUGGAAUUUACGGUGUAGCAGUGAAAUGCGUAGAUAUCGUAAGGAAGACCAGUGGCGAAGGCGAGUCUCUGGACAGCAACUGACGCUGAGGCACGAAGGCCAGGGGAGCAAACGGG